rnacentral:rRNA from 1 species
AACGAACGCUGGCGGCAGGCCUAACACAUGCAAGUCGAACGGUAACAGGAAACAGCUUGCUGUUUCGCUGACGAGUGGCGGACGGGUGAGUAAUGUCUGGGAAACUGCCUGAUGGAGGGGGAUAACUACUGGAAACGGUAGCUAAUACCGCAUAACGUCGCAAGACCAAAGAGGGGGACCUUCGGGCCUCUUGCCAUCGGAUGUGCCCAGAUGGGAUUAGCUAGUAGGUGGGGUAACGGCUCACCUAGGCGACGAUCCCUAGCUGGUCUGAGAGGAUGACCAGCCACACUGGAACUGAGACACGGUCCAGACUCCUACGGGAGGCAGCAGUGGGGAAUAUUGCACAAUGGGCGCAAGCCUGAUGCAGCCAUGCCGCGUGUAUGAAGAAGGCCUUCGGGUUGUAAAGUACUUUCAGCGGGGAGGAAGGGAGUAAAGUCAAUACCUUUGCUCAUUGACGUUACCCGCAGAAGAAGCACCGGCUAACUCCGUGCCAGCAGCCGCCGCAG